UGGUUCAGUGGUAGAAUCCUUGUCUACUAUACAAGAGACCAGGGUUCAAUCCCUG
rnacentral:tRNA from 1 species